GCCCACGGGGGGCUUACGGGAGGCAGCAGUGGGGAAUAUUGGACAAUGGGGGCAAGCAUGAUCCAGCCAUGCCGCGUGAGUGAUGAAGGCCUUAGGGUUGUAAAGCUCUUCACCAGGACGAUAAUGACGUACCUCAGAGAGCCCUUUUACC
rnacentral:rRNA from 1 species